CCUGUUUGCAUCUGAGAUUGCAUAAUAUUGGAGGAACAUGCUUAAUUGGCCUGUGCAUUUGGCAGAUAUAGUUGUGUUUGUUCUGCUACUAGCAUCCUGUACUGUUUAGUUGGUAUUUGGUAUUAUAUUUUUUCUUCUAGCCCAGAAUUAUUCAUUUUAGAUCUUGUUGCAUGAUGUGUCAUGUAUAUGACUAGUACUACUAUUUCUGCAUGCUUAUAUGUUUGUGCAUUUACUAGCUUAGCUACCACAGUAGUGUUCUGUUGAAAUUUGAGGCAUAUCUUUGUUCAUAAGUGUCUUUGUUCCCAUGCAGUGUGCUUUGAAACGUAGGGCGAAUGUUGUGGAGGAGUAGGGCGAAUCGGACAUUGUCUCGCUUGUGCCGCUGUGAUAACAUGCUGAAUGUUGUAAAUGACUGUGUAUGAAUCUUCUGUACGUGCAGAUUAUCAGGCAUUAUUUAAUGCUGCUGAGGGUGUAACAGAGUGUUUCAACCAACAGCAGAAAAAUCAGUUUGAUGUAUGGAUGCUUCAUGCGGUGCUAGCUAAUGAUCUCUAUACUGAUGACAGUUUUGUGGUAAGUGUACUGUGGUAAAAUGCAGAUGUUGAUUAUUUCCUCGACCAUGGUUGUGAUGUGCUUGGUUUUAGUGGUCCUGAUGUAUGAGUCUACUUUUCCUUUUUCUUGCUGUUUUAAGAUAUCAUGUCCGAUUUCAAUGUUGGGUCGAUUGAGUUGUUGAUUUUCUCACCCUGGUCAUACCAUAAUAUGUUUGUGUUUAGUCAUGUAUGCAUCUCCAUCUUGCAAGCCUGCCAUACAUGAUAGGAUUAGUACUUAUUAACUAUUCAUAUGUGCUUGUAGAGAAGGAUACAAUUAUUAUUUAA